UCUCCAUGCUCUGGGCCUGACUCUCCCUGACUAGUCCUGGACAGUGAGAGGGUUAGAGUGGAUCUGGAGCCCCGGAACCCUCGGCUUACCCUAGAGGGGUGUGAACCUUAAAAAUUCUCAGACCCUACUUCAUAAGGUUGGGUUAAGACCAUUCCCCAUUGGGACCAUUCCUCAUUUGGGCAGUGAAGGUACUUGAUCAGGAAUGUGAGAACUCUACUUCACCAUACUUAAGCAUGCUUUAGGGGAAGAUAAAGUUGUAAACUCUUUGCUGAACAAUGAAAAGUAUUUAAACCCAUUCUUAUAGUAAGACAAAAAGUUCUUAAGCUAUGCCUAUUUUUGGAUAUAAUACAAAAGGGUGCUAAGUACCUAUAAAGGUCAGGCAAGUUGUGAAUUUACAAGGAGCAAAGAGGUGAGAAACUUACUCAGAAGUUUUCUGGUGUGAACUUAAUAAAAAAAUUUAAGCCGCCUUAGGUGUGAACUAA